CCAAUAGCGUAUAUUAAAGUUGUUGCAGUUAAAAAGCUCGUAGUUGAAUUUCGGGAUCAAGGGAUCGGUCAUGCCUUGGUAUGUACUGGUCUUAUUGGUUCUCACCUUCUAAAGAACCAUGAUGUCAUUCAUUUGAUGUUAUGGGGAAUUAGGACUGUUACCUUGAAAAAAUUAGAGUGUUUAAAGCAAGCUUACGCUUG
rnacentral:rRNA from 1 species